GGUAGAUCACUUGAGGUCAGGAGUUCAAGACCAGCCUGGCCAACAUGGUGAAACCCUGUCUCUACUAAAAAUAUAAAAAUUAGCCAGGCAUGGUGGAGGGCACCUGUAAUCCCAGCUACUCAGGAGGCUGAGGCAGGAGAAUCACUUGAACCCAGGAUGCAGAGGUUGCAGUGAGCCAAAAAAAAAAAGAAUAAUAAUAGCUACAAUACUUUAUUAAGGUAUAUACAAUAUAAAAAGAUGCAAAUUGACUCGGGUCUUCCAGGAGUCGGGUUGCUUGGGAAUGCAGCCCAAAGCGGGUGGUAAACUCCAUUUAAGGCUAAAUACCGGCACGAGACCGAUAGUCAACAAGUACCGUAAGGGAAAGUUGAAAAGAACUUUGAAGAGAGCGUUCAAGAGGGCGUGAAACC
rnacentral:ncRNA from 1 species